AGAGUUUGAUCCUGGCUCAGGAUGAACGCUGGCGGCGCGCCUAACACAUGCAAGUCGAACGGCACCCACCUUCGGGUGGAAGCGAGUGGCGAACGGCUGAGUAACACGUGGAGAACCUGCCCCCUCCCCCGGGAUAGCCGCCCGAAAGGACGGGUAAUACCGGAUACCCCGGGGUGCCGCAUGGCACCCCGGCUAAAGCCCCGACGGGAGGGGAUGGCUCCGCGGCCCAUCAGGUAGACGGCGGGGUGACGGCCCACCGUGCCGACAACGGGUAGCCGGGUUGAGAGACCGACCGGCCAGAUUGGGACUGAGACACGGCCCAGACUCCUACGGGAGGCAGCAGUGGGGAAUCUUGCGCAAUGGGGGGAACCCUGACGCAGCGACGCCGCGUGCGGGACGGAGGCCUUCGGGUCGUAAACCGCUUUCAGCAGGGAAGAGUCAAGACUGUACCUGCAGAAGAAGCCCCGGCUAACUACGUGCCAGCAGCCGCGGUAAUACGUAGGGGGCGAGCGUUAUCCGGAUUCAUUGGGCGUAAAGCGCGCGUAGGCGGCCCGGCAGGCCGGGGGUCGAAGCGGGGGGCUCAACCCCCCGAAGCCCCCGGAACCUCCGCGGCUUGGGUCCGGUAGGGGAGGGUGGAACACCCGGUGUAGCGGUGGAAUGCGCAGAUAUCGGGUGGAACACCGGUGGCGAAGGCGGCCCUCUGGGCCGAGACCGACGCUGAGGCGCGAAAGCUGGGGGAGCGAACAGGAUUAGAUACCCUGGUAGUCCCAGCCGUAAACGAUGGACGCUAGGUGUGGGGGGACGAUCCCCCCGUGCCGCAGCCAACGCAUUAAGCGUCCCGCCUGGGGAGUACGGCCGCAAGGCUAAAACUCAAAGGAAUUGACGGGGGCCC
rnacentral:rRNA from 1 species